rnacentral:rRNA from 1 species
GACGAACGCUGGCGGCGUGCUUAACACAUGCAUGUCGAACGCUGAAGCCCUUUCGGGGGUGGAUGAGUGGCGAACGGGUGAGUAACACGUGGGUAAUCUGCCCUGUACUUCGGGAUAAGCCUUGGAAACGGGGUCUAAUACCGGAUAGGACCUGUCCUCGCAUGGGGGUGGGUGGAAAGUUCCGGCGGUAUGGGAUGAGCCCGCGGCCUAUCAGCUUGUUGGUGGGGUAGUGGCCUGCCAAGGCGACGACGGGUAGCCGGCCUGAGAGGGUGACCGGUCACACUGGGACUGAGACACGGCCCAGACUCCUACGGGAGGCAGCAGUGGGGAAUCUUGCGCAAUGGGCGAAAGCCUGACGCAGCAACGCCGCGUGGGGGAUGACGACCUUCGGGUUGUAAACCUCUUUCGACAUCGACGAAGGGGCCCUGUUGUGGGGUUUUGACGGUAGGUGUAGAAGAAGCACCGGCUAACUACGUGCCAGCCGCCGCCGUAA